AGGAAAUUUCAAGAGACCACCCUUCCUUUUUUGGGCUGGGGCUCCUUCUUGCUUCAUCCAUUCUCGAUCAUCUGGCCGGCGAUCUUUUUGAGCGAUUGAUCAAAGCCUCUGCUCUCUCUCACUCCUCCCUUCCUCCCUCCGCAGCCCAUCCUUUCUAUAUAUUUUGGGUUAUUGGCCGCGAUGGAGAAGAAGAAAGGGCUCGCGCUGGUCUUCUUGGUGGUCUUAAUUGGUGUUCUUGCCUCGGUUCGCUGGCAAGUGGGUAUCGCUUCUUCUUCUAGUUUCGUCUUCAUAUAUUUUCAUUGGGCUUUCUUGAUUUCGAUCUCGAAUCUUUCUUUUGUUUCACUGGGGCUGGUCGGUGGGUUCUUCUCCAUUGCAUUGUCUGCUCUCUUGAGGCGGUUGUGGUUUUUGAUUGCCAAUGGUUUGGUUCUUCUGUGUUCAUCUCCUUCUGAUUUCUUUCUGGGAUUUUUCGAGGUUCUUGUCAUUUGGUUCGGUUCUCUUCAGCGAUCUCCGGGCGCCUGGUGAUGAAAUUCGAGAGUGGGUACACUGUUGAGAAGUGUUCGAUGGGAGCAAGCCUGGAAUCGAGCCGUUCUACGUUAAGGUGUCUCUGAGCGACAGCAGACCAAAGCUUGUUACCGGUUCAGCAGAAGGUACAGGGGUCAUGUUGAUGGGAAACCACGAGAAGCAAGGAUGAACCAUCCAAAGGGAUUUACAGUGGCUCACAAGGGUACCCCAAAGGGCUUUCAGGAAAAUCAGAGACAGGUGUUACAACAAUAGGAGGUGGAAUAGAGGAGAGAGGAGGGGGGGUGGGGUUGGGGGGUGCAUGUAGAGGGGCCAAGUGAAGAUGCGAAGUUUUCUAAUUGUUUUUAGAUGGUUUACAUCAGUAGUAGCUGCUCUCUUGGUUGUAGACGGGAAACCAGGCAAUCCGGGAGAUCCAGAAUUUUGAUGAUUGUGUAUACGGAACUGCAGUGCAUUUUGCUGCUGGUUUCUCAGGCUGCAUGCUCGCAUCACUGCGGCUACAAGUGGGACAGACGGCCAAAGGAUAAAAGUAGAUGCAUUUCAGAAUCCCUGUUAUGGUCGAAAGUCAUAUGAAGCAUGUUCUCUUAAUGAAUUUGAAGCUCAUCUAGAGUUGCCUUUUGGAAGAAUAUAUAUAUAUAUAUAUAUAUAUAUAUAUAUAUAUAUAUGUAGAACCGAGAGAGCGACAGUAGUUAUUUUUUCAGACCGAGUGGUUCGGUCAUAUUCUAGUGCUUGUACCUCUACAACCCCUUAAAAAUAAAGGUUUAAAAAGAGAAGAAAUUACAUC